AGAGUUCAGUGGCAGUUCUGAAAGGAGGAGAGGAAGUGGCUUACUCUGGGUAAAAGACUCCCUACUUCCUCAAGACUAAAGAGGCCUCCUCCUGGAUUUCCCGGAGCUUAGGGACGUGGUGUGAAGACAAAACAAGAGUGCUGUUGUGGGCUCUGCUCUCCCGGCCUGCAGGCUCCACACGUCACAGCUGCUGGAUAUUCGGUUCUUGCGCUCAAGCCCCGCCCCUAAGGGCCUUGCCCUUCGUUCUGGCUUUUACAUGAUCCGCAUCGAGGAGCCUUUUACAGAAGUGGCUCCAGGAGCAUCCACAUCUGCCUCUCGGGGCCCACGGGGCCCAGGCCAGCUACAGAAGCACCCUGCUUUCCAUGGGAAAAUGCUGCAAAUGGGGGAGAAAGGAGAGAAGGGUUUCAGACUGCAAAGACCCUUCGACAUCAGCUAGCACCAAGUUCCAUCAUGUAAAUAAACUGAAGGGCUUCAGACCGGGAGUGAAGCCAAGCAGGUGAUAGAAGUGUUUGUAGGAGGAUUUUUUUGACAUAAACAUGAAAUGGAGCGAGUGGUAACGCCAUCCGUCUCCUGCCCAGACCUCCCCACUGUCACUGUCCAGCCUGAAGCCGCCCUGGUGAAGCAGGUGGAGGAGCAGCUCCAGGCCCGGCUCCCCGGCCUCCCUCCCUCAGCUCCAGGGCACUCACGUGCUUGAAACAGCUGACGGGAGCAGCCUUGUAACUGUGAUCCUUCAGGAACUUCCCCCAGUCGAAGCCCAAGACCAGAGCUGCAGAGCAGAGAGGACGAGUCAGACUAGGAGCCUGCGCAGCAGCCACUCCAGGAGCCUGGACCCCAAGGGCCCUGUGGGACCUGCAGAGGUGAUCCCAACAUGCAGGCAAAUUUGGGAAGCAGUGUUGCAGAUGCUGGUCCCAGCUACUGGGAAACAAGGUAA
rnacentral:lncRNA from 1 species